CUUCUUUCUUUCUAAUUUCCACUUCUAAUAAAAUGAGGCUGGUAUGAAUGAUACUAUAUAUGUAUAUAUCACAUCAUAUGUACAUAUAUAAGUAUUAUAUACAUGGUAUAUUUUACAUAUCCCAGCAGUGGAACACCUGCAAAGAAUGACAAACUUUGAAAGAUAGUAGUAACCUUUUUACAGCACAAUGCUCUUAAAAGGAAUGUACAAGUGCUAUGCAAAUCAUUUGCAAAAUGAACUUUUGAUCUUUUUGACCAAAUAAUGCCAGAUUGAGGCCAAGAAGAAAGUAUCCUUCAGUAUCACAUAAUAUGCUUGUGUUCUGCAACUCACCUAGGUUAAUGAAUAAAGAGUCACAUGGAGAAGCAUAAUAACGAAAAUGUCAAAUCCAUGGAAAAUAAGGAAGAGGAAUUGUACCUCCAUCAGCAACUAGCCUCCUUCUCUGUCCCAGUGCUCAGAAAUGCUUCAACAGUAGAAAUCUGUGUAGUAUAGAAGCCACACAUUAAGACUGGGACUCACUUGGUAAGACAAAUUUCUGUGCAAAUAUUUUUCCAAAGUAGAGAUAUGAAGAGGAGUCACUCUCUUUUUUUCAGAAAUGAGUACAGAAAUGAUAGUGAUAGGGGCAGAUAGAAAAUAUCUUUAUUGGUUUUAUUAAGUAAGCAGAUUAACCUAGAAGCAAUCCCCCAACUCAUGCAAACAUUUUUCCCCCAGGCUUCCCCUGAAAAAAGUCAAAGCAGAGAAGAACAAGGUGAUAAGCACACUUACUUUUGAACUUAAGAAAAUAUGUCUCUUUCACCACAGUUGUUCUUUUAACAAAUCAAUUUUUUAAUUGGGUUAUUUGCUCAUAAAUGCUUUAUGAGCAACUUCAAUAGUAACUCACAAGAAAACUGCUUUAGCAAACAUUGAGCAAGUUGAUUCAAGAAAACAACAGUUGCUGUGUGCAAAAGAAAUACCCAAAACAGUGCUUUUUUUUUUUGAGCGUCAUAGAAGUCAGUGUUUUGAGUUCCAGAAUUCAUAGAAUCACCAAAACGAGAAAGUUUGAAAGGAGGAAAGAAUCCCUGCCAAGAUCUGUACCUGUUUUACCUAAUAAUUAUGAUCAGAUUUAAUAUAGCACCUGAGUGAAUGUUUACUUUUAUUAUUGUAACUUCUGUGUAGUUUUGUUUUAAAGCAAGCAUUUACUGUCUUCUACUGCAAACAUCUCACAAUUCAGUCUCCUGGGCAGGAAAAAAAAAAUCUGUGGCUUGACACUUUCAUUUAACUGUGACCUAACCCUGGGUGAUAAAUGACUCUUCUUACCUCAUAAAUUUCUAGCAAUACUUUCUUGGUUUAAUUUGAAUUCAAAACAUGCAAACUGUUCCAAGGGUACUGGAUUUUAGCAAUUGUAUUGGAAUGUUCAGGAUCUUAUUUGAAAGACUGUACCUCUGUUUACCCCUGGUUGAAAUCACUGGCUCUUUUAUUGCCUAGAUGAAGAUGAAGUCCCAAGGGUGGUGGCUUCUUUGCAAUCUGCUUACUUAAGCCCAUACCUACACUUCUUAAAAUGUUUUCCUGUUUAUUUGCCCUGCUGUUAUCACAGUAAGAUAAUAGCCUCUGAUUUACCACUCCAUUUCUGUGCCUAUGAUCAUAAAAAGCCUGAUGGAUCAAUAUGAGGCUUUUAAUGUACUUUUCCUGCCUUUUUCAUUAUAGGUUUGCAGCCAGAAUACUAAAAGGCAGUUGAGACAUAAUAUCUUUCUUGGGUUUGGUUCCAAGGAAGUGCUUCCCAGGGAGAGUAAGGGGUUACACACAGCGGCUUUCAAGAAACAAAGCCAUGGAGCUUCAGUUCCAGCAAUUUUAUGGGACUUUUUCAUUCUCAGGCAUUAGAGGUUGUUGAGCAGAUGUUUACAGCAUCCUCUAUGCACAUUCUAAAGCACUGUCUUCGUCUGAAUGUUUAAUUCUCAUUGUUAGCUGAGGAAAUCAAGUUUAUUCUGGUGCA
ensembl:lncRNA